AACGCAAAUUGCACUCCCUGGCAUUCCGGGGAGUAUGCCUGUUUGAGGGUCGGUAUAAGUAAUGAUCGAUGUGUCGCUGGCGAUUUGGUUGGUGACAUUUCGGGGUUGGGUCAUCUUUUAGGCUUUUUUGGCUUUAAGAGGCCUGAAAUUGAUGUUUGCCUUGCGCACCAUUGACGUUGUAAUCUCUUUUUUUUAUGUCGUCUUCGGGUGCCGGGCACUUAUUAGGUGUGAUCACGUCGCUGAGCUCAUGCCCAUAUGUCUCGAUUUCUGACCUCAAAUCAGGUAGGGAUACCCGCUGAACUUAA
rnacentral:misc_RNA from 1 species